AGUGAACGCUGGCGGUGUGCCUAACACAUGCAAGUCGAACGGCAGCACAGUAAGAGCUUGCUCUUACGGGUGGCGAGUGGCGGACGGGUGAGGAAUACAUCGGAAUCUACUUUUUCGUGGGGGAUAACGUAGGGAAACUUACGCUAAUACCGCAUACGACCUACGGGUGAAAGCAGGGGAUCUUCGGACCUUGCGCGAUUGAAUGAGCCGAUGUCGGAUUAGCUAGUUGGCGGGGUAAAGGCCCACCAAGGCGACGAUCCGUAGCUGGUCUGAGAGGAUGAUCAGCCACACUGGAACGGAGACACGGACCAGACUCCUAAGGGAGGGAGCAGUGGGGAAUAUUGGACAAUGGGCGGAAGCCUGAUCCAGCCAUACCGCGUGGGUGAAGAAGGCCUUCGGGUUGUAAAGCCCUUUUGUUGGGAAAGAAAAGCAGCAGGUUAAGACCCCGCUGUUCUGACGGUACCCAAAGAAUAAGCACCGGCUAACUUCGUG
rnacentral:rRNA from 1 species